rnacentral:lncRNA from 1 species
GGGGGUCGAGAGAUAGUGAGUGUGAAAAUCACACUGAAUCAUUCAAUUCGAAAGGGGUUUACAGAGUUCCAACAAAGCCAAUAGCAAUGCCAAUUUACAGAGCUCAGCAAGCGGGGAGCAAGUCUCGUAACUGCGGGAUUACAAGAAAUCUUUGAACUGUAGCUUCUUUUCCAAGCAGGCUUUCUUGCCUCUCACUUCGUUCGAGCAACCAAGCCUUCUAGCGCCUUUCUUUCCCAUAAAAGCCCUACUUUUUCCUUUUUUAAAGUAGCUUCUGUCAAUUAUACAUAUCGAUAUGAGGUCAAGGUGCGAAGCGGUGAGUGGUCCAUUCCGUCAUCAGCUCUUAGGAGAUGCAGUAAAUGAUAUGAAGCUAGGGGCUGGUUUGACCAAUAGUGAUAGCUAGUCAGAUAUGAAAGGGUGGAAAGGGGUGGGAGAACAAAGCGGAUCGGUUAGUGCAACUCUAUCUGUCUUUCUUAUCUUUGGCUAAGAUUAUAGAACUUGCCAAGAGAGUAGAUAAGAAGACGUUUGCCUCGAUUGUUGAGCCUGUUAAGGCGAAGUAGUUGAUGAUAUCAAAUGGGUGAUAUCUGGACGACUCCCGUUGUACAUGCCCUGGCUGCCUAUGUUACCUCUUCACCAAGGGUUAACGUGGGACCCAACUUGGCCUAAGCACCGCCUCACAUGGCAUGGCAUGGUCAGUGUGGGGUGGGUGAACCGUCUAAAACGUAAGUGGAAAGAGAUGUUGGGACUUCGGUCUUACCUACGAAGACGCGGCUUUUCAUUUCCUCAUGACCUUUACUCACUGUAAGGGUGAGCAGUGGUCGCAAGGCUUUCUCUGGGCCCCUCGGG